ACCGGAGACUGAGGCUGGAGACCAGGGGCCUGCAGCACCGGACCAGAGGGAAUCUAUUUCUGGGGGAGCCAUGCUGAUGGAGGAGCCGUGCUGAAGGAGCUGCUGGAGGAGUCGUGCUGAGGGCCUGCCUGCUGGAGGAGCUGGUGGAGUCGUCGUGCUGAGGGCCUGCCUGCUGGAGGAGUCGUGCUGAGGGCCUGCCUGGUGGAGGAGCUGGUGGAGGCCCUGCCUGGUGAAGGACGUCUGUCGUUGGGUAGAUGGAGCCUGACUCUGAAGACUCUGUCUGAGGAGAGCUGAUGGAGGAGCCAAGUCUCUGGAGGACGACAUCACUCCAACCAGGAUCCUCGAAUCUUGAGGACUGAUGGAGAAGCCGUACAUCUGGAAGGUAAAUCCUGAGGACCACCAGGACUCUACCAUCAAGGAUUCCUCAUAAAUGUGCAUGAUUUGGACCUAGUGGACUAGACACACCUGAGCUGAACCUCACCUGAUCCUGUUUGGUCCGGGGUAGACACACCUGAGCUA